GCACCGUGAGGAUCCAAACCCUGUCAGCCUCCCUAAAUCCCGGCCCCACGGGGCUUUUCCUGCCUUUCCCACUCCCACCCUGCCGGACAGGGCUUUCUCCAGACAGCAUCCCAGGCCGCCUGUCCCGCUGGAAACACAACCCAUGGCACAGACUGAGCGAGGAGGGGCAGCUGUUUCCUGCCCCCGGCCCCCAUUCCCACCCGGCACAGCAUCCCUGGGACAGCUGGGAUGCUCCAAAUGGGAUAACCCCGAACGAGACUUCCCCUCCGAGCACCUUACCUCACACUGGGCAGCCUUCCCACAGGGAAUCUGCUCAUGGAUCACGGAUCUAAUGGAAGCAGGACCACGUUUCCCAAGUUGGGACCCUCCUGAGGAUGGUUGUGACUUUUCCCACGUGGACCCUGAGCCCAGCCCUGACCCUCUGCCAGCACUGCAAAACCAUCCUGCUCCUCCCACACCUCUGCAAGUGCACAAACACCGUGGCUUUUCCUCCCCACCUUCACAACAGCAGCUCCAACAAAAGAAGAGGAGGAAAUAGAAAAUUCUCUAACAUUUUGUUUUUACUCCUUCAUGGAAUCUUUCCAACGUAACUUCACAAAAGCAACGUAAAUAAAGUCUCUCUUUUUUUUUUUUUUCU